rnacentral:antisense_RNA from 1 species
GCGUCACUUCACCGACUUCUGACCGUUGACUUGCUGUACCCAAAAUCAUUCAUGCUGCAUCGAGGCGGCAACUGAGUGAAUCCCGGGAGCUUACACCAGUAAGUGACCGGGGUGAGCGAAGGCAGCCAACAAAGAGGCAGCUUGAAGGAUGAAGGGGAAUCGCAUGUGUGACUGAGUAUUGGUGCUAAAGGCAUCCCGCCAGCAAAAUCUUUUUUGCUGGCUUUUUUC